CUUAUACUCCCUCGGUCCACCAAAAGAUGUCUCAAGUUUGUCAAAAUUUGGAUGUAAAAAUUUGGAUGUAUUUAGACAUGACUUAGUGUAUAGAUGCAUUCAAAUUUAGUCAAAGUUGAGACAUUUUUUAUUGGACAGAGGAGUACGUU
rnacentral:pre_miRNA from 1 species